AUGAGUUAGGAGUGUAGUCCAGUUCCUUGGAAAGGACUUUUCGCAAGUGCAUGAGGGUGACAGGACAAGGGACAAUGGCCAUAAGAAGAAGAAAUUUAGAUUAGAUAUUACGAUGAAACUCUUUACUAUAAGAGUUUCUAAGUAAGGCACUGGAACAUGUUGUCCAGAGAAGUGGGACGCCUCACCCUUGGAAAUGUUCAAGGCUAGGUUAUAAGGCACUCUGAGUAACCUGCUCUAAUGGAAGGUAUCCCUGCUUAUGGUGAUGGGAUCAGAAUUAGAUGAUCUUUAAGGUCCUUUUCAACCCUAACCAUUCUAUGAUCCUAUGAUUUGACAAAGGAAAAGUGUUUCUAAUAUGUAGCUCUGUGUCCUGUCCACUGUUCAUGAGUCAGAUUGGCCUCCAGUGGCUGAAAGUUCUUUAAAACAACAAAGUGCACUGAGGAAAAUACCUACAAUAUCUGGUUCAUGAAAGGUCCCAGGGCUCUCCAGAACUGCUGGGGUCCAAGGACAUUUUCUAGAUUGUCUGAGACAACAGCAUGUGUUCUAAGUUUAUGGAGAGGCUUUGUUCAGUUCAGUAUGAUUUGAAUCAUAGACCUCUAAGAUCAAGUCCAAACAUUAACCUACCACUGCCAAGGUCACCACUAAACCAUGUCCCUAAGUGCCAUAUCUAUGAAUGUCCCAUGAGAAUAUAUUUUUCCUGAGAGACAAGGGGAUGCCUAUUCUUUCUCUUUUCUCAAGAAAUUUCCCAUCCUUUUGACUUUUAUCAUUUUUAUUACCAUUCUCUGGACUUGUUCUAUUUCUACUUUCUUUUUUCAGGGAUGAGGUGACCAAAUUUGAAGACAGUAUUCAAAGUGAGGAUGUGCCACUGAUUUAUAUAAUAGCAUUAUAAUAUUUUCCAUAUUAUUCUCUAAAACUCUUUUCUUUGUACAAACCCUGUAAGAUUCUUUUAAUUCUUUGAACUACAAUGCCUUUUAACAUCUGUAGUUUACUCUGAUCAGAUUUUAACAAAGGAAUAAAAGGCUCCAUUUUUCACAUAGAAUUUUAUUUAUUGUUUGAACUUUAGAGGAGAAAUUGGUUAACUUACAAUUUAAAAUUCUUGGCAAUGUAGACCAUUGGGCAAGGAUUUCAUUAUCUAUAUGUAUUUCUAUACUUUCUGUAGAAGUGUGUGAGGCUGAAAGUUAGUGUAUAGGAUCUUCACUCAAUAGGCUUGUCUUUUGCUUUAUAGACAUGGACAAAACCUAAUUUGGAGCUACCAGCAUUCCCAAAAUGUCAGAAAGGGCAUUCACCUCUAUCUCCUUCCUGAUGAAACAUGCUGGAGCCCAACAUUUACAUGCUGUUUAUCCAAGACCAAGUGCACAUGCAGCACCUGAAUUUUGCCAUCUCCCACAUAUUGCACCUCAGACUUCCAUGCCAGGCCAGGGAAAGAUCCCUUUGCAAAUGAUGCACUUGAUGGCUGCAGAGGGUGAGGAUCUUGCUCUUGUGUCAUGGCUUGGCAUUAUGCCUUCAUCGGGAUAUUAGAAACGGCUCAGGGAAAAUGGUUACAGCUAUUCUAUCACCUGAGACACUUCUGCCAGCUCCCGCCUUUCCUUAGAAUUUCCAAUCCAAGUGGUGACCCUGCCUGACCCUACUUAUCUUGUAAAACCUGACAAGAUCACAGCCUGAAGCAGUAUAGCCACAGGCUCAAUACUGGCUACCAAAGUGUCUGUUUAGUAUUUUCAGAAACGUUGUUCUAAAGAUUAACAAUACCAGCUGCUAGAUAUAUGGACAGCACCAACACAGCUCUGACCCCUGGACAUUCAGCCCCACUUACACAGAAAUUUGUGUCUCUCAAGGGGCCAACACUGAGCUGCCACAAACUAGUGACUCUCUACCUGCAAGCAAGUGGAUUUUAAGUACAAUUUGAUUAUAUAUAUAAGACAUCGGGUAAAAAUAUUUGAAAACUAUGGUCUUGAGUUCAGAAUUCAUGGUUAGUUUUUUUAAUCAGUUGCAUUACUGCUUUAGUGAUAGAAAGGUCUCUGACAUUUCUGUGUAAUGUAUAGAACUUACUUUUAAUUUGGUGUAGAGAAUUUUCUUCACUCUUCCAUGACCAAAGCAGUUUUUCAUUAGAAGGUAUUUUUAGAUGAACUGUAAGUUUCCUCACCAGCAAAAAUUUUAGCUGCACCAAGUGAAAGCAAAUGCACAUUUCCUCAGAUAUCUCUAAGGAUAAACACAGGUUUAAAUAUACAAAAAAUUUAAGGGUUCAGUUGCAUAUGGGUUCAUGCACCGGAUGCAUUAAGUUCUUGCAAAGUUGUGUGGGCUUUUUUCCCCUCUUCUUUUUAGAACAGCAAAGACUUGGAACAGACAUCGAGGUCCUAUUGCUCCUGUCAGAAACUUCUGUUGACUGCAGCAUGAGUUGGAUGGGACCCAGAGAAACCAAAUACAGACAAGUAAUGAUGAGUUGGCCAUACAAGCAAGGAAAAUCACAGAUAACAGGUGCACACCAAUUAGCAAUGUAUCUUUUGGGUCGUCCAGUACAUCUUCCUGACACUAUGAAGUUGUUUCUUAUGGCAUAUUUUUGUGGUUUUUUGUGCCUAGAUUAAAUUUCCUAAGUGAUGCCAUAUCUCAAGGGAGAGGUUGUGUUGCCUAGAGCAUCCUGUUGUCAGGAGUUUUUUCCUAUUGUUAACGUCAUCAUAUUUCUUCUAUUUAUGUCCCUUUGCAAAUUUCCUUCUUUCCCUUUGAUCUCUUUUAACUAGUGUGAUGUUGUCUUUAGUUAGCAUUAAGGAAACUCAUAGAUAUUUAGCUCACCUAAUCUUUCCUAAUGUAGCAGUCCUUUCACCCCUCUUGUUAUUCUUCAUUUCUUCUCAUCACACAACUGCCUGUCAGUAUCUCUUUUAGUUAUGAGAUUUUAAAGAUGUGGUGCAUUUCUCUGAUCUAACAACAGAUCUGGUAUAGAGCUGAGCCCCCUUAGUGUCUUGUCACUGUGUCCAGGGGAAAGCUGCAAGCAUUCUGAACAGGCACACAGGAAUGUUUCGGCUACCUGCAGCCUCAUCCGAUGAUGCUUAAUGAACUCAUCUAGCUUGAUCUUCUGUGCACCAGCAGGGACUUCUUUAAAUGGGUAAACUGUAUAGAACGUUGUUUUCAAGUUUAACGUACUUGGAAUUAACCUUAUAAAAUAAUGGCAUCUCUAAAGACAGGUUAUAUAAAUAGCACAGACAUGUAUGUGUGCAUUUAUAUGUGCAUGUCUGUGUAUACAUGUGAAUAUAUAUAUGUAAGUGCACACAGAUGUAUAGAAAUGCUGAUGUUAUUCACCUUUUUGAAAUCUUUACAGCUAGUAUUAACAUGAAUGUGCUGUUAAAUUUGGCAGUGCUAUACAUUUUUGUUGGAGUUUACUUCUGUAACAUAAAAUCAUAAAGAUAAGCUGUGAAACUCGUGCAGCUGAUGACAUAAUUCUAGAAUCUCAUGAUGCUGAAUCUUAUAUUUCUAUGAGUGUGGGAUGGAUGUUCCUCGCUGAAAUAAUUAUCCUGCCUAUUGCAGUGUAUGUUUCCUUGUUUUAUGUGGGCACUGAGAUGUCCAAACUAUUAAACAUAUAUAGUACAAUGA